UCUACGGGUGGCAGCAGUGAGGAAUAUUGGUCAAUGGGCGCAGGCCUGAACCAGCCAAGUCGCGUGAGGGAAGACUGCCCUAUGGGUUGUAAACCUCUUUUAUCAGGGAGGAAUAAUGACUACGUGUAGUCAGAUGCCCGUCCCUUAUGAAUAAGCAUCGGCUAACUCCGUUCCAGCAGCCGCGGUAAUACGGAGGAUGCGAACGUUAUCCGGCUUUAGUGGGGUUAAAGGGUGCGUAGGCGGUAUUUUAAGUUAUUGGUAAAACGGCGGGGCUUCACCUUGAUUGGCCAUUAAUACUGGAGUACUAGAGUACAGACGAGGUAGGCGGAAUAAGUUAAGUAGCGGUGAAAUGCUUAGAUAUAACUUAGAACCCCGAUAGCGAAGGCAGCUUACCAGACUGUUACUGACGCUGAAGCACGAGAGCGUGGGUAGCGAACAGGAUUAGAUACCCGUGUAGUC
rnacentral:rRNA from 1 species